rnacentral:rRNA from 1 species
GACGAACGCUGGCGGCGUGCUUAACACAUGCAAGUCGAACGCUGAAGCUCAGCUUGCUGGGUGGAUGAGUGGCGAACGGGUGAGUAACACGUGAGUAACCUGCCCUCUUCUUUGGGAUAACGCCCGGAAACGGGUGCUAAUACUGGAUAUUCACUGAUUCUCGCAUGGGGGUUGGUGGAAAGGUUUUUUCUGGUGGGGGAUGGGCUCGCGGCCUAUCAGCUUGUUGGUGGGGUGAUGGCCUACCAAGGCUUUGACGGGUAGCCGGCCUGAGAGGGUGACCGGUCACAUUGGGACUGAGAUACGGCCCAGACUCCUACGGGAGGCAGCAGUGGGGAAUAUUGCACAAUGGGCGAAAGCCUGAUGCAGCGACGCCGCGUGAGGGAUGGAGGCCUUCGGGUUGUAAACCUCUUUCGCUCAUGGUCAAGCCGCAGCGUUGGGUUGUGGUGAGGGUAGUGGGUAAAGAAGCGCCGGCUAACUACGUG